UGCAUCUCUCAAUCAUUGCUGUUUUGUUGUGGAUAGCUAUGGAGUGAGCUUUUGAGUUUCACUUGGCACCAUGGGCAUUUAUUAUGCUUACUUACAAAGCUGUGGAGCUUCCACUAAAAGUUUUAGUCAUUUUUAUUCACCAGUGGUAAGAAACUUGAAAACAUGGUAAUGUUUGGUAUAAUAACAAAAGUAAUCUCAUGCAACUGUACUAUUUUUUGAAAUGUAUACAAUAUUUAUUUUGGGCUAUGCAUAUAGGGUGUCUAUGGUACUUAAUAAUGCUAUUAGUAUUGACUUUAUUGCACAUUCUCUCAAUCUCCUGUUGUAACACUAUAUUUUUUGUGUCACAUUGUGUGACGUAUAAAGGCUGCAUUGUGUUUUUAAUAGUGCAUAAUCGUUACUAAGGAGUGUAGCAUUCAUUUCAUAUAAAAAAAAAAAUCUGGUUCGAACAAGUUUGAACAUAAAGGUUUUAGCUCUGCUGAGUGCUGUAUAAGUCGUUGAGGAACCGAAAGAGUUAAUUUCUCUCUCUCUCUGUUGAACGCUGCGUGGGCUGCGAGAUCAUUCGAGAGUGCAUUUUCAGCGUCCAAUCAGCUGUGCGGACUCCACUCCGCAUUCAGCCAAUAGGGAGAAUGGGAGGCUCUAUCGAAUUUGAAUGAGGAGUGUAUCUUUCGGCGCCAUUUUCGAGUGAGCAGCGACUGCCUCAGCAGCUGCGGAGAGAGGAUGCUGCGAAUAUAGAAAGCUGUCGCUGAGACGGGGGAGAAACCAAGCGCUCAAAAUUAAACUGCGCUUUUAGAGAGGGGAAUCGCAAGAAUCAAUGGAAACACAGGUGGUGAACCUCGUUAAUCGAACCUGCUUUAGUAGUGGACAGAAGACUUGAAUCUGAAGGAAAAAAAAUCUUAUUAUCUGAACUUUGUGUGGUAGAUAAUAGUCUGUAGCCAUCUGUGAACAUGUGGUUUGGACUAAAAGCCUGGAGGAUGAAGACUGCAAAUAACACAGAAGAUGAAAAGAGUUGGAAGUGGAGGGACUUGACUACAGUUCUGGUGAUGCUGUAGCAGCACGGAAUGGUUUGUGGGUUACACUGAGAUGCAGGCCAUACUGUGCUGCCGCAGUAAAGCCUGAAUAUACAACCUGGCUGUCACUUUGCGCUUCUUCAACAUGUUGAAGCUGACUUGUUUGCUAUCACUCUUGGAUUUAGUCUCGACUUUCUGAAAUAAUGCCACGUAGACAAUUGUUUGGCUGAUUUUGCCUUUCUCCUUUGCUGGUCGCCUUACUGUAGCAGCACGUAAAUAUUGGAGUUAAGACUAGCUGAAGCCUCCAGUAUUGAUCGUGCUGCUGAAGCAAAGCUGACCACUCACAAUCAGCGCAACCAGCCACUACUCAGACCACCCUGGUCGUGCCAAACUGACUGACAGCGAGUGAGUUCUUGAGAGAGACAGGUACACUGUUUACACACAGCUUUUGAGUUAACCUCCAACACUACCUUGCUUUAAUAGUUAAAAUGUGUAUACAAAAUCUUUUUACAUUUCACUGUCACCUCUGCACACUUGGAGAAAUAAAAUUUUAAAUUGCC